AUCCAGCUGACGAUUCUCGAAUAGGAUGAAACGCGCGCCCUGGAU
rnacentral:hammerhead_ribozyme from 1 species